rnacentral:rRNA from 1 species
GCACAAUGGGGGAAACCCUGAUGCAGCCAUGCCGCGUGUGUGAAGAAGGCCUUCGGGUUGUAAAGCACUUUCAGUAGGGAGGAAGGUAGUGUAGUUAACACCUGCACUAUUGACGUUACCUACAGAAGAAGCACCGGCUAACUCCGUGCCAGCAGCCGCGGUAAUACGGAGGGUGCGAGCGUUAAUCGGAAUUACUGGGCGUAAAGCGCAUGCAGGUGGUUUGUUAAGUCAGAUGUGAAAGCCCGGGGCUCAACCUCGGAACUGCAUUUGAAACUGGCAGACUAGAGUACUGUAGAGGGGGUAGAAUUUCAGGUGUAGCGGUGAAAUGCGUAGAGAUCUGAAGGAAUACCGGUGGCGAAGGCGGCCCCCUGGACAGAUACUGACACUCAGAUGCGAAAGCGUGGGGAGCAAACAGGAUUAGAUACCCUGGGAG